UGGGGAAUUUUGGACAAUGGGCGAAAGCCUGAUCCAGCCAUGCCGCGUGCAGGAUGAAGGCCUUCGGGUUGUAAACUGCUUUUGUACGGAACGAAAAGACUCCUUCUAAUAAAGGGGGUCCAUGACGGUACCGUAAGAAUAAGCACCGGCUAACUACGUGCCAGCAGCCGCGGUAAUACGUAGGGUGCGAGCGUUAAUCGGAAUUACUGGGCGUAAGGCGUGCGCAGGCGGUUAUAUAAGACAGUUGUGAAAUCCCCGGGCUCAACCUGGGAACUGCAUCUGUGACUGUAUAGCUAGAGUACGGUAGAGGGAGAUGGAAUUCCGCGUGUAGCAGUGAAAUGCGUAGAUAUGCGGAGGAACACCGAUGGCGAAGGCAAUCCCCUGGACCUGUACUGACGCUCAUGCACGAAAGCGUGGGGAGCAAACA
rnacentral:rRNA from 1 species